rnacentral:lncRNA from 13 species
GUUUAUUUGUUUGGAGGGAGCACUGAUGGUCAUUCCUACAUCUUCAUACUGUUUUAGUGUUCCUACUGCUAUGCUGCUUUCCAGGGCUUGGGGAAGAUGCUUAGCUCUAGGUUAACUCUUUGUGAUCUCACCAGAAAUCUGCAGAAGUGGUUUGGACCACUUUUUGAGACAAGUACUUCCACAAGUCUGCAGGCUACUAGAAGAUUUAGGGAUGAGGACCACACACAAAGCUUUGUGCAGUGCUAAUUUCCAAAGGUCCAUGUGAAUCACAGCAAAGGCAUUAGUAGUGUGUGAGUGUAUUCAAUAAUUGAUGCAAACAGGUAAAGCGGUGACACAACAGGAAGCAAAGUGGUGAUUUAACCUUGCGUUCCCAGUGCAGGGAACACCAGCAGCUCAGCAGAGUACUACAGAAAGGGCAGGUGUUUUUGUCAUGGCUCUACAACAGCAUGUGCCAGGUGAGGUGCAUCUGUGCUUUUCUGUGCCCGCCCUGCAGACAAGGUGCUGCCAGAUAACUGCUUGGGGAACAAAAGGGGAUCAUGUCACAGGCACCAGCACUCUGGGAAUCUGCCAGCUUAUGUAGUGAGGUAGAAAUAUUAGCAAACACGUGGGCAAAGAGUCCAUUAUGGAAAUAAAGGGCAUGGGAGAGCACAGAAACGUGAGCCAUAUUUUACAGUGGUUUAUAGGCUGCGCUGGAAAGAAAUGGGAGGGGAAAGAUGAAAUUCUCAUCUGAGAGGGAGAUAUUCACCGUGACAAAAAUCAUUUGGAAAGGUGUUAAGCUCAGUUAAAAGGCAGCCCUUUCAAAGCACUUUCAGGGUUAUUUUCAGCUGUGAGCAAAGCAGAGGAAUAUUGUCACUGGGAAGAAAUUGCUGCCAAACAAUGAUGGGUGGAAAGGAUGCUGACUGCUGAACCCCAGCCCAUUUCAGAUCACUUUUGGCCUGCUCUUUUCUUUGUUGUAGGGCCCCUUUACAGGAAUGAGGGCUGCAAAGCAUGGGCAGCAUCCCAUCCUGGCUUUCCAUGCCAAGGUGGCAAGGGUUGGAGGCUUGUGUCCAGGGCCUGAAGGGCUGAGAACUGGCUGCUUAAAGCAUGGGGAGGGCACAUCCUGUCAGGUCAUGGCAUUAAGAAGGCCCUACUUGUGCCCGAAGUCUAGGAGUGAGAGCGAAGAGGUUCCAGGUGGGUUCAUCACAGGACAGUGGAUAAUCCUAACAGGCAUGGAGCUCGGUGAAACAGCGUGCCAGCAGUCGGAAAGGCAGCACACAGACCCUGCAGAGCAGCACGGCCACAGCAGGGAUGCAGCUUGUAUAGUCCCACCAAAACAAGCAGCUAUGCAAGAUUACUUUCCAGUUUCAAUCUGUGAUGUGUGGAGGAAAUAA